UUACGGCCAUAUCACGUUGAAACAGCGGUUCUCGUACGAUCGCUGAUGUUAAGCAGCGUAGAGCUUGCUCAGUAUUUAAAUGGGUGACCGGUUUGGAAUGCUGA